AAACCAACAGGGAUUGCCCUAGUAACGGCGAGUGAAGCGGCAACAGCUCAAAUUUGAAAGCUGGCCUUCGGGUCCGCAUUGUAAUUUGUAGAGGAUGCUUUGGGUGAAACGCCAGUCUAAGUUCCUUGGAACAGGACGUCAUAGAGGGUGAGAAUCCCGUAUGUGACUGGAAAUGUUAACCUAUGUAAAGCUCCUUCGACGAGUCGAGUUGUUUGGGAAUGCAGCUCUAAAUGGGAGGUAAAUUUCUUCUAAAGCUAAAUAUUGGCGAGAGACCGAUAGCGCACAAGUAGAGUGAUCGAAAGAUGAAAAGCACUUUGGAAAGAGAGUUAAAAAGCACGUGAAAUUGUUGAAAGGGAAGCGCUUGCAAUCAGACUUGUUUAAACUGUUCGGCCGGUCUUCUGACCGGUUUACUCAGUUUGGACAGGCCAGCAUCAGUUUCGGCGGCCGGAUAAAGGCUCUGGGAAUGUGGCCUUCACUUCGGGAAGGUGUUAUAGCCCAGGGUGUAAUACGGCCAGCCGGGACUGAGGUCCGCGCUUCGG
rnacentral:rRNA from 1 species